AAGUCUUGUCACUUGCUGCUUUAUGACCAAGUGUCUUGAUUUACGUCUUGCUCAGAACACCUCCAGCCACAGGGCAUCACCGGAGCCCAGGAGUGACUCAAGGCUGCUCAACAGCAUAGACAAGAUUGAAUCUUUCAGCCUCCAAGAUGAGAGGCUGGGGCAAGACUGCUUUUUCCACGGGCAAGGAAAGAGUAAGAGGAGGGGAUACAACUGUUAUUGCAGGCUGAAGGGGAGAGUACUGGGGAACUCCAGCUGCUGCUGCCAGAUACCUGAGAGCUCAGGUCACCUGGAAGAACACUGUGAGAGACCUGGCAGAGAGCGAUUGAGAGGAUAUCAC
rnacentral:lncRNA from 1 species